rnacentral:rRNA from 1 species
UACGAAGGGGGCUAGCGUUGUUCGGAAUCACUGGGCGUAAAGCGCACGUAGGCGGAUCUUUAAGUCAGGGGUGAAAUCCUGGAGCUCAACUCCAGAACUGCCCUUGAUACUGGCGAUCUUGAGUCCGGGAGAGGUGAGUGGAACUGCGAGUGUAGAGGUGAAAUUCGUAGAUAUUCGCAAGAACACCAGUGGCGAAGGCGGUUCACUGGCCCGGUACUGACGCUGAGGUGCGAAAGCGUGGGGAGCAAACAGG